GGCUCCUUGUAAAGAAAAUAAAUAAGGAGUCGGACCUGCCCAGUGAAGUUUUUUAACGGCCGCGGUACUCUGACCGUGCAAAGGUAGCACAAUCAUUUGCCUUAUAAUUGAAGGCUAGUAUGAAUGGUUUGACAAGAAUAUAGCUGUCUCUUUAUGGCUAUUUAGAAUUUUAUUUAUAGGUGAAGAAGCCUAUAUUUCAUUAAUAGACGAGAAGACCCUAUCGAGCUUCAAAUAAAUUAAUAGAUAUAAAUCAAUUAAAUAAUAACUAAAAUAAAAACUAUUAAAUAUUCUUAGUUAGUUGGGGCGACUGAGGAACAAUAAAAGCUUCCUUUAAGCAUUUUAAUAAACUAUACUAGUUUUAAUCCAAAAACUUUUUGAUCAAAGAAAUUAGCUACCGUAGGGAUAACAGCAUAAUCCCUUUUGAGAGUUCCUAUCGAAAAGGGGGUUUGUGACCUCGAUGUUGGACUAGAAUAUCCCAAAGAUGCAGCAGUCUUUAAAGGUUGGUCUGUUCGACCAUUAAAAUUCUA
rnacentral:rRNA from 1 species